rnacentral:rRNA from 1 species
CCCAGACUCCUACGGGAGGCAGCAGUGGGGAAUAUUGGGCAAUGGGCGCAAGCCUGACCCAGCAACGCCGCGUGAAGGAAGAGGGCUUUCGGGUUGUAAACUUCUUUUCUCAGGGACGAAGAAAGUGACGGUACCUGAGGAAUAAGCCACGGCUAACUACGUGCCAGCAGCCGCGGUAAUACGUAGGUGGCAAGCGUUAUCCGGAUUCAUUGGGUUUAAAGGGUGCGUAGGUUGUUUUAUAAGUUAGCGGUGAAAUACCGAUGCUCAACAUCGGGGCUGCCGCUAAUACUGUAGGACUAGAGAUCGGAUGCAGCAGGCGGAAUGUGUAGUGUAGCGGUGAAAUGCAUAGAUAUUACACAGAACACCGAUUGCGAAGGCAGCUUGCUAGGCCGGAUCUGACACUGAUGCACGAAGGCGUGGGGAUCGAACAGGAUUAGAUACCCUCGUAUUG